rnacentral:rRNA from 1 species
CCUACGGGAGGCUGCAGUGAGGAAUAUUGGUCAAUGGACGAGAGUCUGAACCAGCCAAGUAGCGUGAAGGAUGACUGCCCUAUGGGUUGUAAACUUCUUUUAUAUGGGAAUAAAACGUUCCACGUGUGGGAUUUUGUAUGUACCAUAUGAAUAAGGAUCGGCUAACUCCGUGCCAGCAGCCGCGGUAAUACGGAGGAUCCGAGCGUUAUCCGGAUUUAUUGGGUUUAAAGGGAGCGUAGGUGGAUUGUUAAGUCAGUUGUGAAAGUUUGCGGCUCAACCGUAAAAUUGCAGUUGAAACUGGCAGUCUUGAGUACAGUAGAGGUGGGCGGAAUUAGUGGUGUAGCGGUGAAAUGCUUAGAUAUCACGAAGAACUCCGAUUGCGAAGGCAGUUCACUGGACUGCAACUGACACUGAGGCUCGAAAGUGUGGGUAUCAAACAGGAUUAGAUACCCUGGUAGUC